AGUGAACGCUGGCGGCGUGCCUAAUACAUGCAAGUCGAACGGAAUUUAAGAGAGCUUGCUCUUUUAAAUUUAGUGGCGCACGGGUGAGUAAUAUAUAGCUAAUCUGCCCCUUGCUGGAGGACAACAGUUAGAAAUGACUGCUAAUACUCCAUACUCCUUUUUACCAUAAGAUAAAUCGGGAAAGAAUUUCGGCAAGGGAUGAGACUAUAUCGUAUCAGCUAGUCGGUGGGGUAACGGCCUACCGAGGCUAUGACGCGUAACUGGUCUGAGAGGAUGAUCAGUCACAUUGGAACUGAGACACGGUCCAAACUCCUACGGGAGGCAGCAGUAGGGAAUAUUGCGCAAUGGGGGAAACCCUGACGCAGCAACGCCGCGUGGAGGAUGACACUUUUCGGAGCGUAAACUCCUUUUGUUAGGGAAGAAUAAUGAC
rnacentral:rRNA from 1 species